rnacentral:misc_RNA from 1 species
CCGACAAAGACGAUACUUAGUGCGAUUGCGGCGUUGAGCGGACGCUCGGGUAUGCCGACAAGGCCGAAUGUCGCUGCGGCAAGCGACAAACUGUGCCCGAUAGUGAACGCGGUAAUAGUGUGCACCAGCGUCCAGCCGCCGCGCGACAGCCAGAUCAGCCNGAUCAGCCCGAGAACGAACAGAAGGUGAUCGAUUCCGCGCAGGAUAUGAUCGAUCCCUAGAUUGACAUAGGUGUCGGCAAGAUCGAACCAGACUGCGACAUCUGCACCAGGAUCGCGCGCCACCGUGACGACGGGAGUAGCC